rnacentral:rRNA from 1 species
GACAGAGGAUGCAAGCGUUAUCCGGAUUGAUUGGGCGUAAAGCGUCUGUAGGUGGUUACGCUAGUCGGCUGUUAAAGAUCAGGGCUGAACCCUGAGCAAGCAGUCGAAACUGCGUGGCUGGAGUACGGUAAGGGCAGAGGGAAUUCCCGGUGUAGCGGUGAAAUGCGUAGAUAUCGGGAAGACACCAAAGGCGAAAGCGCUACUGCUGGGCCGAAACUGACACUGAGAGACGAAGCUAGGGGAGCGAAUGGG